GGAUGCCUCUCACCUUUGCACAGAAUGUCUCCUCCCUCAGCAGUCAUCGACGCGCCGCAACGGUUCCUCCUCCG